rnacentral:rRNA from 1 species
GACGGAAGGUGCAAGCGUUGCUCGGAAUUACUGGGCGUAAAGGGCUCGUAGGCGGCCAACUAAGUCAGACGUGAAAUCCCUCGGCUUAACCGGGGAACUGCGUCUGAUACUGGAUGGCUUGAGAUUGGGAGAGGGAUGCGGAAUUCCAGGUGUAGCGGUGAAAUGCGUAGAUAUCUGGAGGAACACCGGUGGCGAAGGCGGCAUCCUGGACCAACACUGACGCUGAGGAGCGAAAGCCAGGGGAGCAAACGGG